GGUUCCAUGGUGUAUCGGUUACACCUGGACUUUGAAUCCAGCGAUCCGAGUUCAAAACUCGGUGGAACAUUCA